rnacentral:rRNA from 1 species
CCAAGAUGGGAUUAGCUUGUUGGUGGGGUAACGGCUCACCAAGGCGACGAUCCCUAGCUGGUCUGAGAGGAUGACCAGCCACACUGGAACUGAGACACGGUCCAGACUCCUACGGGAGGCAGCAGUGGGGAAUAUUGCACAAUGGGCGCAAGCCUGAUGCAGCCAUGCCGCGUGUAUGAAGAAGGCCUUCGGGUUGUAAAGUACUUUCAGCGGGGAGGAAGGGAGUAAAGUUAAUACCUUUGCUCAUUGACGUUACCCGCAGAAGAAGCACCGGCUAACUCCGUGCCAGCAGCCGCGGUAAUACGGAGGGUGCAAGCGUUAAUCGGAAUUACUGGGCGUAAAGCGCACGCAGGCGGUUUGUUAAGUCAGAUGUGAAAUCCCCGGGCUCAACCUGGGAACUGCAUCUGAUACUGGCAAGCUUGAGUCUCGUAGAGGGGGGUAGAAUUCCAGGUGUAGCGGUGAAAUGCGUAGAGAUCUGGAGGAAUACCGGUGGCGAAGGCGGCCCCCUGGACGAAGACUGACGCUCAGGUGCGAAAGCGUGGGGAGCAAACAGGAUUAGAUACCCUGGUAGUCCACGCCGUAAACGAUGUCGACUUGGAGGUUGUGCCCUUGAGGCGUGGCUUCCGGAGCUAACGCGUUAAGUCGACCGCCUGGGGAGUACGGCCGCAAGGUUAAAACUCAAAUGAAUUGACGGGGGCCCGCACAAGCGGUGGAGCAUGUGGUUUAAUUCGAUGCAACGCGAAGAACCUUACCUGGUCUUGACAUCCACGGAAGUUUUCAGAGAUGAGAAUGUGCCUUCGGGAACCGUGAGACAGGUGCUGCAUGGCUGUCGUCAGCUCGUGUUGUGAAAUGUUGGGUUAAGUCCCGCAACGAGCGCAACCCUUAUCCUUUGUUGCCAGCGGUCCGGCCGGGAACUCAAAGGAGACUGCCAGUGAUAAACUGGAGGAAGGUGGGGAUGACGUCAAGUCAUCAUGGCCCUUACGACCAGGGCUACACACGUGCUACAAUGGCGCAUACAAAGAGAAGCGACCUCGCGAGAGCAAGCGGACCUCAUAAAGUGCGUCGUAGUCCGGAUUGGAGUCUGCAACUCGACUCCAUGAAGUCGGAAUCGCUAGUAAUCGUGGAUCAGAAUGCCACGGUGAAUACGUUCCCGGGCCUUGUACACACCGCCCGUCACACCAUGGGAGUGGGUUGCAAAAGAAGUAGGUAGCUUAACCUUCGGGAGGGCGCUUACCACUUUGUGAUUCAUGACUGGGGUGAAGUCGUAACAAGGUAACCGUAGGGGAACCUGCGGUUGGAUCACCUCCUUACCUUAAAGAAGC